rnacentral:lncRNA from 1 species
UUUUUAGAUUUUCGAGUUCUUGCAAGGAUCCCUGUAAUUUUGGCAUUAUCAUGACGUAGGUAGGUAGGGCUUUGGGGUUGCUGUUUUGGGAAUUGUUAGGCUCAGCUUUGGGUAUUUGAUUCGGCCGAUUUGGUGGAGCUAGUUGUAUGUCUUGUAGAGGCUAGGGAGGUGUGAAGCUUGCAGUUUACGAGGCAUGCUAACUUUGAGGUUGAAACUGUGGUGAUGGUUGCCACAUCAUGGUGGGUUGGUAGUUGAAGGGAGGACUGGUAAAUGAGUUCGCGAGGCUAGGUGUAUAGACGGUGUUGAGGUUCGCUUGUGGAUAAGCUUGGUAGUAUGGCUGUUGCAGCCAAAAAGAGGUGUGGUGGAUGGUUUUUAGCGCUGCAACUCCUUUUUUUUCUUUAGCUAUUCUUUCAAAAGUCAUUUUUGUUUCUGGGCAGAAGUCGGUCGCGUGAUCUAGUUGCCUGCCACGAAAUGUGCAAUAGAACAUUAGAGGUUGGUUGUUCUGAUUGUGCGGCCUCGGAGGUCCUCUGCCUCGGCCUCUCCGUCUUCCAAAAUGACUGCCUCAUUGUCAAAUUGUCAUAGCUUGUUUGUUGCUGUUGUUGGGGUUGUCUAUUAUGAUUUUGACUUUGCUGCUAUGAGGAUUGAGCACCCUCAAUUGGUAGCACAUGCUGAGCUGGAUAUGGUUGUUGAUGUUGUGCAAAAUUGUAUUUUGAGGUUUGCCAAUUCUGAUCUUUUUGAACUUGCCUUUGACGGUUUCUCUCCAUUACUCUUUUUUUGUGGUCCUCAUCUUACCUGCAGUAUUUUUCCA